AACUACAGGAUUCCCUAGUAACGGCGAGUGAAGCGGGAAAAGCUCAAAUUUGAAAUCUGGUAGCCUCAGGCUGCCCGAGUUGUAAUCUAUAGAAACGUUUUCCGCGUUGGCCCAUGUACAAGUCUCCUGGAAUGGAGCGUCAUAGAGGGUGAGAAUCCCGUCCUUGACAUGGACUACCAAUGCUUUGUGAUACGUUUUCAAAGAGUCGAGUUGUUUGGGAAUGCAGCUCAAAAUGGGUGGUAAAUUCCAUCUAAAGCUAAAUAUUGGCGAGAGACCGAUAGCGAACAAGUACCGUGAGGGAAAGAUGAAAAGCACUUUGGAAAGAGAGUUAAACAGUAUGUGAAAUUGUUGAAAGGGAAACGAUUGAAGUCAGUCAUGUCUAUUGGACUCAGCCGGUUCUGCCGGUGUACUUCCUUUAGAUGGGGUCAACAUCAGUUUUGAUCGCUGGAAAAGGGCAGGAGGAAUGUAGCACUCUCGGGUGAACUUAUAGCCUUCUGUCGUAUACAGUGGUUGGGACUGAGGAACGCAGCAUGCCUUUAUGGCCGG
rnacentral:rRNA from 1 species